AUUAUCUGUCCGCGGCCGAAGCUGCUUGUCGGGCCGGCUCUUCCCGGGCGCGCGGCGUAUCUCGCGCUUCCCGACGGGUGCAAAACCACGGCGCUGCUUCGCGCACCCCAAGCCGGACAACAGUCAAAAGCGCAUGCGUGACUUUUGUCGCUCGACUCUGUAUAGCGGAGGAAUCCUAUUAACCUAUCGCGUCAUAAAGAACUUCGCGCGGGGAGUGAUGCGUACCGAGCAGUCCCCGCUCUGUGAGGCAGUCACUCAGUGAAAGAGCACGGGCGUGCUGUGGGAAGAGGAAGGGGGAAGAGCGUCGGUGAGAAGCGAGCGGGCGGGGAAAGGCAGCGAAAGGGCGACGGGCGAGCAAAAGAGGCGGGGGCAACGGGAAAGGAAGCAAUAGAGAACACCGGGUUCCCCCCAGGCCGGCACUCACACCUGUCCUCCCGCUUCCGCCGAAAAGCCUCUGCGCUCCCUCCGCCGCCGGAAAAUAGUCCCCCUCCUUCCUUUCCUUCUUCCUGCUUGCCUCCCUCAACAGGCUCCGCCGCGAUGGCGCUGAAGAGAAUCCACAAGGAGCUGAAUGAUCUGGCACGUGAUCCUCCAGCACAGUGUUCAGCAGGGCCUGUUGGAGAUGAUAUGUUCCAUUGGCAAGCAACAAUAAUGGGACCAAAUGACAGUCCCUAUCAGGGUGGGGUGUUCUUCUUGACAAUUCACUUCCCAACAGAUUACCCCUUCAAACCGCCUAAGGUUGCAUUUACAACAAGAAUUUACCAUCCAAAUAUUAACAGUAAUGGCAGUAUUUGUCUUGAUAUUCUACGGUCGCAGUGGUCUCCAGCAUUAACUAUUUCAAAAGUACUUUUGUCCAUCUGUUCUCUGUUGUGUGAUCCCAAUCCAGAUGACCCUUUAGUGCCUGAGAUUGCACGGAUCUACAAAACAGAUAGAGAAAAGUGAGUAUGGAAGUCAAACAUCUGAAUAUCUAAGAAUGAAAUGGUUAGUUUUUUUUUUUUUUUAAAGAAUGAGGAGAUUAUUUUAAUUUGUGACUAUGUACUUGGCACCAAAGACAUUUCUUCUUGUUCAAGAGUAACAUCUACUUCUGUUAGCAGCUUUGUAUUUUCAGGUUUAAAAUAUUUGAUAAUUAUUAGUAAUAAGGUUUACUCCUCAACUGGAUUGAUUAGUCCACUAAAAGUCUAGUCAUUGUCAUCUGUACUUUUACACGUUAUUAUUUUGCAAUUGCCUCUCUUAGGCCUUUCAGUUUCUGCUUUUAGGCUGCAGAGGGAGGAACAACUUAAACUUCUAUCACAAGACACAUGAUUCAGGUGGUGGUACAACAGAAUAGCUCGAGAAUGGACUCAGAAGUAUGCGAUGUAAUUAAAGAAAUUAUUGGAUAACCUCUACAAAUAAAGAUAGGGGAACUCUGAAAGAGAAAGUCCUUUUGAUUUCCAUUUGACUGCUUUCUAUGAGCCCACGCCUCAUCUUCCCCUGUGCACAUGUUUACCUGAUACAGCAGUGCUGCGUGUUGUACACACUUGGAACAACGAAAUACUGUAUUCCAUACCAACAUUGACUCCUAGCAAAGAAAUGUGUGUGAAAAGCCAGUUCUUCUAUCAAAGUCUAGUUGUGAGCAUAAAAGCAUUCCUAAGACAUUAAAUUGGGUACUAAAACCAAACAUGGAGGGAGAGGGGAAAGAAUAAAUUGUUCUUGUGUUUCUGGGGACUUUUGAUGAUUCAAAGAGGAUGCUUUUUAAAAAAAUGGAAUCCUUUUAAACUCAUAACUGUAAUGAAAAAAAAGAUGUGAAGAACUUGAAGCUGUUCUGUAUUUUAUUCUGAAGGACCUACUAAGGUAAAUGUAUGACCAAUAAGAUCAAAUUGUACCCACAUCCUGUGUUUAAAAGUCUGAGUUUAACUGGUCAGCAUUUAAAUGCAUUGGAGCUAUUAGUGCAUCAAGUGAUGUUGAUUUUGUUUCAAAUCUCCCCCUCCCCCUUCCCCUUCCUUUCAUAAUUUUGGUUUGUAUGUGUUUUCUCAAUUAACAUAGCUAAUAGCUCUUAUUUUCUUAAGUUUUUAAUGGCUUAGGUCUUUCUGGAUGUAAGGGUAAAAAUUCAUUUGACAGACUUGUGUAUAUUUAAAGACCCAGCUGCUCCCUUGGAGCUUGUACGUUCAAGAAUGAUUAAUCUGUGUAAUAAACUGAUUACUACAGUCAUUACAUA